rnacentral:lncRNA from 1 species
CCAUUUCAAAAGACUUUUGCUAAAAUUUAACUUUCCCAUUCAAACCAAGCGUGAAUUCCUUUUCUUCCUCUUUGCCCUCGAAAGUGCUUUUAUCCUCUUUACCGCGACUUCAGCCGUGCCAUAUUUGGCCCCAAGGGGUUGAAUUAUCCAACAACGAGUUCAUUCUUCUAGGCCAAAACUGGUGAUUCAAAAUAUGGGUCAAUUUCUUCACUGAUUUCUCUCGGCCGCGAUUUGUCUUCAUCGUGAUUGGCAUUGCUUGAACUAUCCAAUAGUGGGUUCAUUUCGGAAGCAAACAAAAAGUCAAAAUAUGGUUUGAUUCGAAGAGAUGAUGGAUAAAGGUAUUUUCCUCCCUCAUUUUAGCAUGAUACUGGUUUAGGGGUUAGGGACAAAGGUAUACUCUGUGAGAUUAAAGAAUAAUCAUAAAAAGCUCAUCCUUUUUUUUUUGAAGUAAAUCCUUAUUAAAUUGAGUUCAUUAAACUGCAGGCAAAAUAGAAAUAGGUGCACAAUCUAACCAAUGGUGCACAUGGUCACAUGAAAUAGUAGCUAAUGAAACCAAUUUAUGAGCCGCUUCAUUCUCAUCACGGAACGUAUAGUAACAAGACUUAUAAAUGCCUAUCCAAUCGAGAUACUUCUUUUAAAUUGAAACAACUUGAUUUGUGGAAUUUUUCAACGUGAAAUACUAAUCUAUAAAGAUAACAAAAAAUAAACCAAAGAUAUAAUUUUAAGACGUUUGACUCACAAUUCCAUAGAAUGUUAUUAACUCAAACCUCUAACAUGAGUAUGAUGUGAAAUUGCAAGAUAGAUAGUACAUUAGUUCAUAUGUGAAUUUCUCCAAAAGGUGUAAACCAAUUUACGAAUCCAUGUUUUACAGGAUACUUUUAUUUCCUUAACUAGAUUGAGAAGAAUUAGGAAUGAGACUCACAUAUAUAAAAGAAGGAAGAAUUAUAUGUACUUCAAGUGUCUUCCUUACAAUUUUUCGUUAUUUUUGUCGCAGUGAAAGGAAUUUAGGAAGAAGUAGACAUCGAUAUCUUGUUAGAAUUAGAUAACGACAAGAUGUUGGAAAGUGUGAAUGUAGUGGAUAAUGGAAUUGUAGGAGUAGAUGGUAUGAUCGUUCCCGAGGUAGGUAUGAAGUUCAAUGAUGAAAAAAAAUGUUUGAUUUUUACAAAAGAUAUGCAUACAACUUAGGCUUUCCGGUUAGGAAAAGAAGUUCGCAAAAGGAUGAUGAUGGAAUUAUAAGAUAUGUUGUGUUUACAUGUAGCCAUGAAGGUCGUUGAAGUAGUAACACAAGUGCUUCUAUGAAGUUGCAAGCUACCAUUGAAAUGGUUUGUAAAGCUAGGUUGAUUGCAUCAUUAGAUGUGUGCGUAGUAUGGAGAUUAAUACAGUCAAUCUCAUUCAUAAUCAUAAAACCAGCCCUUCGAAGCCAGGUUGUAUUGUUGCAAUUGAGAAUUGAGUAUCCAUGUCAAACGAUGACUUGAAGUGAAUGACAUGGCAAGGACUCCUUCGCAUAGAAGUUACAACUCCGUGAUUGUAGAAGUAGGGAGUAUGAGAAUAUGACUUGCACCAAAAAGGAUUGUCGAAAUUAUGUUGAACGAGUGAGGCGGUUAAGAUUUGGAGAAGGAGAUGCCGCAACAAUACAGUUAUAAUUUUCAAACAUGUAAGUAAGGUGCUCAGGUUUUUUCUUUAAUAUGGAUUUAGAUGAAGAGUCACGGUUAAGGAAUAUUUUCUGAGCAAAUAAUAGGAGUAGACAAGCAUAUAAGGAGUUUGGCGACAUUGUAACAUUCGAUACCAUGUACCUAACUAUUAAGUAUGACGUGCCAUUUGUGCCUUUUGUUGGAGUUAAUCAUCAUAGUCAAUCAACACUUAUUGGUUGUGGUUUGUUGUCGAACGAAAAUAUAGAAACAUUUGUGUUGCUUUUCAAGACUUGGCUUCAAUGCAUGCAUGGAUAAGCAUCCCUUGACAUUAUUAUCGAUCAAGACAGGGCCAUACAGAAUGCAAUUUAGAUUGCAUUCCCAAACACAAAACAUAGAUGUUGUUUGAGGUACAUAUUGAAGAAGUUACCAGAGAAGUUUGGAUACCACAUCGAUAAGGUGAAAUCUUUUCUGCCAUGCACGUACUGAUGUAUGAUACUAAAUCUGUUGACGAAUUUGAAGAGGGUUGAAGUGCAAUGAUAGAGAAGUAUAACUUCCAUGACAAUGACUGGUUGUCGGGACUAUACUCGAACAGGGGCUGUUGGGUACCUUGCUAUUUGAAAAGCAGCUUCUAUGUUGGAAUGUCAACAACUCAGCGCAGUGAAAACAUGAAUACAUUCUUCAAUGGGUAUAUGCACUCUAAGAUAUUAUUGAAACAAUUUAUCGAACAAUAUGAGCGAACUUUGAGGAAUAAGGUAGAGAAUGAGUUCCAGAUAGAUUUCAAAUCACAAUUGGUUCCACGUGCAACGAAAUACGAGCUAGAGAAGCAAUUUCAACUAGUUUACCCCAUUUCAAAAUUUAGGAAAAAUCAAGAUGAGUUCAUUGGGAAGGUAUAUUGUGAUCUCAUAUCUUCGUCAGAGGGUUUUUUCAUGGACGUUGUAUGAGGUAUUAGAGGAUGUCAUACUUGAAAAUCAAGUGAAGAAAAAGAAGUUUUAUCACUUUUCAAAAAGAGAAAUGUGAAAUUGUAUGUAGUUGUCACCUCUUCGAGUUUCGAGGAAUAAUUUGCAAGCAUGCGAUCGCUGUACUUCACUGUAAUAACAUCAUUUCACUACCCGACACCUACAUAUUAUGAAGAUGUAGAAGAGAAGUGAGUAGAGCCCACACCAGGGUCACAGCCAACUAUGAUGGUUUGAGUAGUAGUCUAGCCUAGUUGAGCUAUGACAAAUUUGUGUCAAUCAUUUGCUUCUCUUGCGAACAUGGUUGUAGAGGACGACGAGCAAAUCCGUCAGAUAAUGGAAUGGAUAUAAUGCAAAGAACGAACAGUGUAGAUGACGAGGUCGAUUGGUGGAAGUAAUAACAUAUCGCAGCAGGCAUUUCAGAUAGCGUUGGAUGAUGGAGAAUCACAGUACUCUGGCAAGGGAAGUGUACAGGACCCAAAAUGCUCGAACAAAAAGGUGCACCAAAGAAACUCCGAAGGAAAAGCUUUAUGAAAUCGAAUUUCAGUAAAGCAAAGGUAUGUUUGAAAUUUAUUUUGUUUUGUAAGAAAGUGCAUAGUGGUAGUAAUUAUUUGUCUGUUAUGCAAUCCCGUCCAACUUUAGUCAAGGGAAGGAGAACUAGGGCAGGCCCAAGUAAACCGGGAGAAGUUGAAUCGGUCUCAUAUUCCAUACAGGCACCAGUCUCAUAUUCACAACUCUUGAUUGUUCGUCUCUUUCCAUUGAUCCCUGAAUAUGAUUUGCACUUUUCAGUUACAUUAUGAUAUGGUGCAGGGUGUUCGCGAAAUUCAUGCAUUUACACAACAGCGUCUCCUAGUUUCAUCCCAUUGGAUCCGACAAAUGCUAUGUUGUAUGGACCAGCUAAUGAUAUAGUUGAACAUCCGUAAUUUAUUUCAAGUCAUACUUCGUUUGCGUAAUAACUUUGUUUACUUCACAGCUAGAAAUGCAAUGCCUAAUUACUAUCUAAAUGUACCUCACCGACAUGGAUUGAACUUGUGAUGCUAGAUGAAAAGAAAUGAUGGACAAAUAUUCACAAGGCAAUUAGGAGAUGGGGAAGGGUUGCGUUUUUAUUUUCCCCUUCCUCAUUUUGCUCUAUUUUCGUUCUUUUUAAUUUUCCCUUCCUAACUUGAGUUUAAUUUUGGUCUUAGGUCAAUGGUUGCUUGGUGUGAGUUCACAAAGCUCCAAGUUCACUGUACGGCCUGGAAGAAUAGAAGUUUAGAAAGAGCAUGGCAGAUUUAAGUUCAAAGCACAUGGUGCACUUUCAUGAUGGGUCCUUCAAUUGUGUGUUGUUUUAUGAAAAUGUAUUACAUUGAACCAAGUUACAGUAUCCUUAAUUUGGUAGUUUUAUGGUCUGUCAAAUUGUGUAUUGGUCAGUAGUCAGUGAUUGUUACGCCUUUGGACCAUGCCGAUUUCAUUAAAUGGGUUCCAAACAGUAUAGUUGGCUUUGAUGGCAUGCAUACUAGGAUCUUGUAAUUCGAACCCUUCCUGGAAAGGGUCAUAAUGUUGUUCUUCCAUUUCCAUAUAAUUAUAAGUAAUAUUUCUAGGUUGGGGUGAUGAUGAAUCUCUAUUUUGUGAAGGAUCAAAAUAAGAUAAGGC